CACUAAGAAGCUAAAUAGAGGUGAAGCAUUAGCCUUUUAAGCUAAAAAUUGGUGACUCCUGACCACCCUUAGUGA
rnacentral:tRNA from 4 species